UACCCCCAAUGUAAUCAGUUUCUUUUCAAUGAAGAUAUAUUUCUUAUAGGGAAGGGAGGUGUGAUAUGCAUAAAUGUGAAUACAGAAGCUUCAAAAGGGUGCACCGGUUGGUUGUCUUCUUUGUUUUUCUUUUUUCUUUUUCUUUUUGUUUUUUUUCAUUUAUGUAUUAAUAGGUAACGAUGUUAAGUUGUGAUUAAGGCCUCGUUUGGUAUUGUUUUUUUUUUUCACUAUAAACUGCUUCACUUUAAAGUUAAGUAGUAAAAAAAGUGUUUGGUAAAAGUAAAAUAACCUGCUUAUUUAAAAAGUAAUGGCCUUCAGACAUCAACUUUUAAAAGCAGCAUGUAGGUUGCUUUUAAAAGCUGUUUUAAUAAAAAAUGGACUUAAGCCUUUAAUAAAUAUUUUCAAUUGUUGCAAUACCUUCAUUAAUUUUUUUUAAAUAACAUUAUUUAGCAUUCCACACACAUUUUAUCCCUUAGAGAAUAAAGUGACAGCUAUGACCUACCAUUACAAACACUAACCUUACACCAUCAAUGCCAUUACAACCACCAUUGUUGUCACCACCAUAACCGUAAAUGUAACUGUAACCACCGCCACUGCCAACAUACUAUCAUCGUCACCACCAUCAUUGCCGCCACAACCACUACCACCAUAACCACAACAGCCACCACAACCACCACCACCACCAACACUACCACUGCGCGUAACACCAUUGAUACCUCUACACCCCAACCACCACAUCCCACACUACUAGCGCCACCAUCAUACAUCCACCAUAAUCAUAAUCGCCACCGCCACCACUACGACCACAAUUGCCACCACUGGCGCUACCACCGCCACCACCAUUUUUACCUCUACGCCUCAACCAACACAUCCCACUAUUAACACCCACUACUACUACCACCACCACCAUUACCACCAUUGUCCUAGCCACUAUCGUUGUCUUCCCAACUUCUACUACUAUGUUCAUUUUGUCAUUGUAUACAAUUAUAUUACUCUUAAAUUAAAAUUUACCAAACAUUUUUACACUGCUUUUCUUACUCACAACACUUUUAAAAUACAGUUAACCAAACAUUCAUUUGCUUUAUUUUACAGUUGAUUAUUCUUAAAGUACAGUAGAAUCAGUUUUUUUUUUAAACGCACAACAAUCCCAAACUGGCCCUAAGUGAUAAAAUUUAAAAGGACAUGUGUCGACAAAUGAAAUAAGCCACAGAGAAGCACAUGGAGUUCUAAAUGCAGAAGAUUUGGACUCCUUUGAUCAAAAGUGAGACUCUUCAUGAACCUUGCGCCACCUCAUUUUUGUGGCAUUCCCAUGCCAUCAUUAUAAAACGACGUGUCAAAAGGAUGAGGUGGCAAGUUCAUAAAGAGUCCCACUUUAAGAAAGUCUUUUUAGCAUUUCUCGUAAAAAAAAAAAAUUAAUGGAAUUUGCACGAUUCAAGGAUGCUAGCACCAAUUGUUGUGAAGUGGCAUCGAUAAAUGAUGGAGGGAUUGGAAUUUUGGGCAAUAAGGGAGGGCAAGUGUGCGGAAACAGAAACAGUCCUGUGUUCCUUGAUGGUUUGCAUCCAACGGAAGAUGUGAACGUUCAACUAGCAACCAAGGCCUUCGUCUCUUCCCUUGAAACUGAAGUUUAUCCCACUAAUACUAAGCGAAUGACCAAAUGCAAAAUAUAGGGUUAUCCAGGGGCGGAGGGACCAUAGGACCACAGUAGUCCUAGGCCCAUCCUGCUUUUGUUUGUAACUAAAAAUUAGUACUACUUAUUAUUUUAUUAUUUUCAGUUAAAUCAUUCAUAUUUCCUAGACAAACCAUCCGGCCCUCUUUAAAUAUUUUAAGAAUAUUGGGCCCUCUUUAAAUAACCCUAAAGCCUACCUAUAACCUAUUCCAACUUCCAACACUUCAUCUUCCAUUCAUUUUCCCAAUACUAAAAAUUAGUAUUUUAUUAUUCUCUAAUUCUAGCCGACUGUUUCUCUACUGCUAGUUUGAAAAAAUAGUCAGAACACUGCUUCUCUCAGUCUGAUCCCUCCCGUGGUACACAAGCCGUACACUGCUUCUCUCAUCUAUAGCAUGUCACAGUCUUCAACCAGUCUAUCAAUCUAUCAGUCUUCAAUUUCCAUGAUCCUCAAGAGUAUGAACUUCGAAUCUUCAUAGUUGUCAUUUUCAAUUUUUUUUUUACAAUUUGCUAAUUCAUAUAUGUUGUCAUCUACAAUUGUAAAUUAAUUUAACAAAUAAAUUUUUUUUUUUGCAGAUUAAAGAAUUCAAUUAUUCCAUCAUUCCAUAAAAAAGACAUUGAAGUUUAGUUAAUUGGUCAACAACCCAAAGUAUGUAUUUUACUCUCAAUUCCUGUUACAAU
rnacentral:lncRNA from 1 species